rnacentral:tRNA from 1 species
AUAAAGGUGGCAGAUUAGUGCAUUAGGUUUAAGCCCUAAAUAUAAAAGGGUUUUUUUCCUUUAUA